UCCAGAUCCGCCUGACGGACACGCUGGGCACGCUCUCGCACGCACUGGAGAUGGACCACUUCGCGCUGGUGGUGCACGAGCAGAUCCAGUCACGGGACCAGGCCUGGUCAGGAGUGGUGGGGGGGCCUGCAGACCACAGCAGCGGCCAGGCCAGCCAGCGGCAGAUGGUGUUCGGGGUGGUCACUGCCAUCGACCUGCUGAGCUUCGUGGCGGCCAGGGAGCAGGACCAGCAUUGAGGUGCAGUUCAAUAGCUGAAAACCCACAACGCGGGAGCAAAGGCGCAUUCAGGACGUCACGCUGUCCCCUCGCCUCUAAGUCCACAGCACCCUGGGGGAAGCAGUCCCUCCCCACCCGUCCCCGCCCUGGCUCCCCCGCCCGGCCUCCGGUCUCCCCCAGUGUGGACUCUCGCAUAAAUGCAAUCACACCAUCUGUGGCUCAGCCGUCUGUUCUCGCGGGGGAGGGGCCCUCGGUGUAGCCGGGAAAUCGUCCAUUGUGUGGAUGGACUGCGUUUUGUUUUUACAUCCCCCGCAGAUGGGUGAGAGAAUCUUCUCCAAUAGCACGGUCCGGUGCAGCCCAAGGACACCGUGCCACACACGCACCCACAUGCAUGCAAAAGCAGCUUUUGGUGACAUGAACUUUAUAAAAGCAAAACAUCCAUAAGGCAUGUUUCUAUUUUUAAUUUUUUUGCAUUGAUAAAUCAACUGCUUCACAAAAAUCCUUUUUAAAGACAACAAUCCAAGAAAACAUAUCGUUACAGUAUUCACAUUUUAUAAGAUUGUCAGCUUCAAGGACCGAACAGAACCAGAAAGACACUGUGGAGAUGGCCGCGGGCACACCGAGGGGAGGGCAGGGCAGGGCAGCGGCCACCGGCGCGCCCCGGGCUGAGCCUGGAGCCCGGCUAAGGUCUCCACACACUGCAGGACUGGUCUACUUGGGUGACUCUCUGGAAUCCAAACAUGGAGCGCUGAACCGCCAACUGGAGCUCGCCACUGUGGGCAACUGGGUCUAGCUCUUCACUAGGUAGCCAAACAGCAGGCAGGACAACGGGCAGACUGUGGUCUCAAACACACUCAAAGGCUCUACCACAGGGGAAGUUGGUGAAGCUAGGAUCAGACCUGACCACGGAAAGGAGGCUGGAAGGGGACAAACGUUCCGACCCUCUCCCUGGCCGAGGGCUGGAAAACAUGUGUUUUAAGGUGCAAACUUAGAACAAAUACAAUUGGCAGCAAUUUCAUGAGCCAGAACGGCCAGCUAUGCACAAGCACCCCAGUAUUCAUGGAGGGUCAGAGGAAACACAGCCAGGACCCAGUGUAGCUCUUGAUGAUUUUGUUUUUGAGAUAGUAUCUUGCUAUGUAGCCAAGGCUGGCCUUGAACUCAAGAUCUUAUGCUAUUCCUUGGAGUUUCACAAGAGAGAAUUCAGGGUUUAGGAACACAGGCCUGGCACCUCUUGGCAGGGUGUUCAGGCCCCGGGCGGAACAGUGGGUGCGACCAGCCCUUCUCGUGGAUGCGGGCAUGCCCCCCCAGGUUUGACCAUGAUUUCAGGGGUGGAGAGAUGUGCUCUGCACGCUGUGGAUGUGCACCUGCGCUGCCGAAGAUGGAGGG